AACGUAGGGUGCAAGCGUUGUCCGGAAUUACUGGGUGUAAAGGGAGCGCAGGCGGACUGGCAAGUUGGAAGUGAAAACUAUGGGCUCAACCCAUAAAUUGCUUUCAAAACUGCUGGCCUUGAGUAGUGCAGAGGUAGGUGGAAUUCCCGGUGUAGCGGUGGAAUGCGUAGAUAUCGGGAGGAACACCAGUGGCGAAGGCGACCUACUGGGCACCAACUGACGCUGAGGCUCGAAAGCAUGGGUAGCAAACAGG
rnacentral:rRNA from 1 species